AUUGAACGCUGGCGGCAGGCCUAACACAUGCAAGUCGAACGAGUGGCGGACGGGUGUGUAAUGUCUGGGAAACUGCCCGCUGGAGGGGGAUAACUACUGUAAACGGUAGCUAAUACCGCAUACCAUCGGAUGUGCCCAGAUGGGAUUAGCGAGUGGGUGGGGUAACGGCUCACCUAGGCGACGAUACCUAGCUGGUCUGAGAGGAUGACCAGCCACACUGGAACUGAGAAACGGUCCAGACUCCUACGGGAGGCAGCAGUGGGGAAUAUUGCACAAUGGGCGAAAGCCUGAUGCAGCCAUGCCGCGUGUAUGAAGAAGGCCUUCGGGUUGUAAAGUACUUUCAGCGAGGAGGCGUUACUCGCAGAAGAAGCACCGGCUAACUCCGUGCCAGCAGCCGCGGUAAUAC
rnacentral:rRNA from 1 species